rnacentral:rRNA from 1 species
AUUGAACGCUGGCGGCAGGCCUAACACAUGCAAGUCGAACGAGUGGCGGACGGGUGAGUCAUGUCUGGGACACUGCCUGAUGGAGGGGGAUACCUACUGGAAACGGUAGCUAAUACCGCAUACCAUCAGAUGUGCCCAGAUGGGAUUAGCUAGUUGGGGGGGUAACGGCUAACCAAGGCGACGAUCCCUAGCUGGUCUGAGAGGAUAACCAGCCACACUGGAACUGAGACACGGUCCAGACUCCUACGGGGGGCAGCAGUGGGGAAUAUUGCACAAUGGGGGCAGGCCUGAUGCGGCCAUGCCGCGUGUAUGAAGAAGGCCUUCGGGUUGUAAAGUCUUUUCAGCGGGAAGGCGGUACCCGCAGAAGAAGCACCGGCUAACUCCGUGCCAGCCGCCGCGGUAAUAC